CGGGACGGGUGAGUAAUGUCUGGGAAACUGCCUGAGGGAGGGGGAUAACUACUGGAAACGGUAGCUAAUACCGCAUAACGUCGCAAGACCAAAGAGGGGGACCUUCGGGCCUCUUGCCAUCGGAUGUGCCCAGAUGGGAUUAGCUAGUAGGUGGGGUAACGGCUCACCUAGGCGACGAUCCCUAGCUGGUCUGAGAGGAUGACCAGCCACACUGGAACUGAGACACGGUCCAG
rnacentral:rRNA from 1 species